ACGUUUCCAUCCUCGUACGGAAUUCAUAUUCCAAUUUGAAAAUUUUUUAAGUUUUAAUUACGAAAAAUUAAAAUUAAAAUUAAAAUUUAAAGUCCUAUAAAUACCAUGUUUCCAAGUCUCUCACCUUCCUCACUCUUCAAUCCACCACACACACUCUCUCAUCACAGUGCACUCUCUUUUUCUUUUGGUCGAAUACUCUCUUUUCCUCUGUUCUCCUCUGUCUAGAAAUGGCGCAAUUUAGCAACUGCAAAGCUAUGUUCUUGAUGGUAAUAGCCAUGGUGCUUGUCUCAGUUACAGCUCAGGAUACUGCGCCGGCUCCAUCACCGGCAUUGGACGCUGGAGCUGGAACUCUGGUGACAAUUUCCAGCCUAUACAUAUACUCUCCGGUGCUCUUCUCUCUCUUUGCGCUGCUUAGGCAUUAGGGAGACUUGGACUGAGACUACUAUAUAAUUAUUAUGGUAUUUUUUGUAUUCUUUUCUGCAUGUAUUUGUUAUUUCUUAAUCUUCCUAAUCAUUGGUUAUGGAUGUUAUAUUGCCUCACUAUAAAAUUUAGUACAGUGCUUCAGUGUGAGUGUGUCAUUUUUAGCCUUUAUUAUUGCAUUUCUAACGCCCAUGGAUUCCAUAGCCUCGAAGAUGCAAGCAACCUAAACAAGGCUAAAUGCCAGUCAUUGAGUUUGAUUAACUACUUAAAAACAGCAUCCUACUUCAUUUCUAAGAGUCAAGGCAAUGGCCGUUGUCGGAAUGUGGAUUUUUCGGCAAAAUCACAUUUAAAACAACAUAAAGUAGCCUGUUGUAACUUGUAAAUCUGAAAUACUUAUGGAAGUUCAUAAAACUUGGUCACACCAAUAAUAAGUUAUCAUCUGCUGAGCAAAGAAACGAAAUGCUCAGGCAGAAAAGUUUGCUAAAAUUAGUGUUACAACCAAAACACAUCCACCACAAGAAUGCUAAAAUGAAUCAUCCUACGGUAUUGACACUGCCAUCAUUCUCAAUCAUAUGAGACCUCACUAAUUAAACAACUGGGGUUACAAGAGACGAUUCCAUUAGAGAAUGUCCAUCUGAAAUCAUCACUUUUUUGGGCAAUAAUGUCAAUAGUGAUGUGUAUACGAAUGGCAAUUCCAAACUUAGUUUACGGCUCUGUUUUGAGUUUCUGAAUAGGCCUACGUUUUGACUUCCAAACUUUUGACAUUGUUGAGUGUAGAAAGCUGGGCCCUGAAGAUGCAUUCAUACUUCAAAAGACCAAAACAUAAACCAAGAUAACAAAUUGUUCAGACAAUUCAUAACAAUCAGUGAUUCAUGUUAUUGAACACAAAAAAAGAAGAUCUCUCUGUUCUCAAUAAUUCGAAACAUCUCGAAUGUAAUUCUCAAAAUCAAAGCCAGAAACAAUAACUGGCAGCAUUGCCAUUCUCAAUUAAUGGCAUUAUUCAUCACUAAAUUGAUAUGAAACACUACAGAAUUCAUCAUGAAUGAGAUAUAUCACUCCAACAACAAAAUUGGAACUCAAAUUUCCAAACUUUUAUCUCUCUUCCUCAACACCAAUGCCUAUUUCCGCACGGUCACCUAAGCUUAAAUCAACUAUCCAAUUAUCCAAGUGUAACCCAUUUCUCCAAUCAACUAAUAUAUACUAACAAGAAUGAAAUAUCACCAAAACAGAUACAAAUUUUAGCUCUUACCCAUCCAUCUAUUCGCUUUUGGGGUUUUCAGACUCUCCACCACCUGCCCGACCGGCCUCGAGGAGCUUCUUGUUCUUCUCGAUCGCCUCAGCGACUUCACCGGGCAUGUACUUCUCGUCAUGCUUUGCUAAAACCUCCGUGGCGGCGAAAUAGCACUCGCCGCUCCUCGCCUUCUCCGAGACACUCUUCGUUGAAAUCUCCCUUCGAAUUUCAUCCGUAAAAGGCUUGACGAAGCCCUCGACCACAACCGAGUGACCCUCCCGAAACAAAUCAGGCAAGGAGCCUUUGUAUCGGACCAAUAUAUCGGUCAUCAAAUCGGUGACGACGAACUCCAUCUCGGGCGACGAGGCGGGCUGGAGCACGCUGCCUUCGAGGACCAGACCGCCGAUCCUGAACUUGCUCUUGCUAGGGUUUGCUGAGUAUUUCUCUAGAGCGUCGGUUGGGGUCACGUAGAAGACGAGCUGGUCUUGGAAGCUAUUGAGGACGAUGACAAUGAAGCCCGCGAUGCAGCUGAAGGUUAGUGCAUAGGUCCAAAGGCGUCGGGUUUGGAGCUGGCGCGCCCGGCCCGCGAUGUCGACGGGUUUGGGCCGGAUCGGGCCACGGCGAGAGGUGGAGAGGAAGCGGAGAGUGAACGGGAGGAGGAAAUUUGUUGAACGUUGGAGAUGGGGGUCGAAGAGUGGGGAGAAGAUCAACGGUGGAGAUUGGAUGAAGGGACGGGGGUGGAUGGGGGUUGUGAUGCGAAGGAGGUGGGAUUUGAGGCGGAGGGCGAUGCGAUUGGCCAUUGGGUUUUAGGGGGUGUUUUUAUUUCUCGGGAAAGUGAUGGAAAAGAGGGGUGAAAGUGGGGGGUUUGGAGAGGUAGUAGCAGCCCUCUCUCUGAAGAGAAGCUUCGAGUUAUUCGGCCACGGUAGAGUUGACGAGGGUUUUUCAGAAGGAUAUGAAGGGAAUUUGGAAAAUGUUAAUUCUUUUACGUUGGUUUUUUAUUUUUUAGAAUUAUAAACAAACCAAAAAAUAAAAAGAAAAAAAGAAAACAGCAUCUGUUCCACGAUGUGAAUAUAUAUAUAUAUUUUUUUUAUGAACACAAGUUUAGGAGAAGAGGAGGCUACUCUAUCUCAAAGUCAGGGCAUACUAAGGGCUCUUUGAGGACUUACAGAAGGUCUUAGCUCUUUUAUUUUUAUUUUUAUAGAUUACCUACCAAGAGAAUUAUCGACAACAUGACUCGAACUUAAGUUUGGAUAGCAAAAAGAAUGAUUGUUACUAACUCAAUCGACCUUUGUUGGCUUCUACAUUGUGAUAUUUUGAAUGAUCCACAUUAACCCAAAAUGUUGAUUAAAAAAAUUAACCUUAAAUUUAAAUUAGAAACUUUAUUGAAUUUCAACAUAGUUUGGAUUUAUUAAAUUGGAUUUAUGUUGGCGGUAUUGGAUGGGGAAUUUCAAUAUAAUUCCAACUUUAUUGAAAAUAGUUUGGAUUUAUGUUGGCAGUAUUUGAUGGAUGAUAUGUUCCAAUUUAUCAGUGAUUUUCUAUUUUUAAUGUGUGUGUGUGUGUGUUUUUUUUUUUGGUCGGAAUCAAGUUUCAUUGAUAGAAAGGCGAUGCCAAUUACAAGAUCGUGGAACUUAUAAAACUAAGUCCAAACAAAUGCAACAAUAAAAGCCCACUAGAAAUCAAACUCAAAGAGGCAUAAAGUCUACAAUUGGCAUAAAGCAAGAGCCCCGAACUGACAGAAAGUCAGAGUACAAAACUAGCAUAAAGCCAGAGCCAACCAAAAGCAAAAACACCACUAAACACCAAAGUAAUGCUACCGUUACUUCCAUGAAGACCGAGACAUCGCCACCAGGACUAGUGAUGAGUGAAAGAACUGCAAACACACCAAAACACAUAGAACAAAUACAAAAACUACAAAUCUGAAAAUCCCUCGCAAUACAUAAACCGACCAUCACAGACUCAAUAACUACUACAAAAAUGAAACCACCAAAGCACCAAGAGGGAAACAACAAUCAAUCCAAGAACAAACCCGGGAAAACACUUCCCAAAGCCAAAGAAACCAACAUCCUAAUCAAGGAAGGAAGUGGUAACAACCCAAGAAUGGAAGGAGGUGGUGCACACACCCGAGCAAAAGCUCUACACAUCUUCCGAAGGAGACAUGAAAAAUCGUGUUUGGAAUUAGUCUCUGCAGCCUAUGGGGGUUGAUAGAUCCAAAAGGGAGAUAGAGUUCUUGAAGAAGCCAUAUAAGAAGGGAGGAAUUUAAAGAGAGCUAGGAAAUAAUUUUUUUUUUUUUUUUUUAAAAAAGGGAAGAUAACUACUUAUAUCGAAAUUAACGACCAAUGGAGAUAAGACACGUGGACAAAAUAGGGCAUUGGUAGAGAAGCCCUCGGCACCCAAGCCUGCCGAUCAAGUGAUUAGGGCAAAAUCACCCUCUGGACACGUGGAGCAUCUACAGUGAAUGUCAACAAUCCCAAAUCGAAAUUCUAUACAAUAUGCACGCCUCUCAAGGCUUAUAAGAAGGGGCACAAGUUCUAAAAUGGAGGUAACUGAAACUUUUGGCAUACUAGUCAUCGCUCUGUCCAGAUUAUUUACUAAAUCCGUACUUACUUAAGUAUCGGAGAGCCUUCGGCCGGUACCACACCGGUGCCCUAGGUAUUAUCGAGCGUUUACUCCUAUCAAGGCUCAUGACAUUCCAAAGGUCCAGACAUCACCAAGUUGAGCCCAAAAGUGCCGAACCACUUUUUCGCAUCAACAAUAACAGAUUGGAAUGAAGAGGAAGAUGGAAUAUGGAAAUUAGAAAUUGAAAGGGGUAGUGACCACCUCCCCCCUUGCUGCGUUGAAAGAGGGUGCAGCUUAAUGUCUUAAUUGUGUCAAAUUUUGCAAUUUUUUGAUGAAAUUGGGGGUAAAACCUCAAGAAAUACAGAGCAAUUAACUAGAUCCAAAUUGUAGCACCACUGAACAAUACAAUUAGCAAACACGUAUCAAACUUUCCCAUAAACUCCCAGCAUAUUAUAGCUUGAAACCAAAGACGCCAUAGGAUGCGAACCAAGAGUAUAGAAUUCUGCAUCAACUGAACAGAUUACGAAUACCCCCAUAUUUGAGCCUCAAAUAUCUGACCUCUGCAGAAAUUAGCAGCAAACCCACAAGUCCAAUCAAUCCCCAAAGAAAUCAAGUAUAACUUCCCUGCACCAAUGCAUCCAAGAGCACUUUUUAUGCGCAAAUUUUGCACUUUUUAACCCCUCGCAACUUCUUUUUGAGCCACCCCAUUCUUGUUCAUAAUAAUAAUUCAUGCUUAAGGUUUCGGCCACCCAAUUGUUGUUCAUAAUAACUCAUGCUUAUUUAUAAUUUCAGUUUAAAGAACUACAUAAGGUGGUUAAGUUCCAUCAGCCUUAACAUUCAACAAAGUUCUAGGAAACAUUUCCAUGAUCAUACAGACAACAUCAUACACACAAGAUGUUACAAAUGGAUGUUUCUUGAUAGUCUCCAUCCUACAUCUCGAUCCUUUUGCAUACAGAGCUUGAUGCGAGAGGCUAACCAUGAGAGAAAUGGAGAGAAGCGCAAGAAGUUGCUAUUAUAAUCAAUAGUUCGUCUCCUUUUCCUAAUACAAUAAAUAGUGUCUACCGCUUUAAUUUUUGACAUCCAUUCUCAAUUUAAUUUUCUCCAAUGUCCCAAAUUAUUUCACAUGUUUCAAAUAAUCAAUUAAACCCAUAUGGAUUUUCCCCUUGCAACUUUAUCAAAUCAUUAGAAUUUUAUAUUGACAUAACAGAAAACAAUAUUUGAAAAUGAUAAUUUUCAUGUGCAAUGAUCAUACCCACAACAAGAGAAGAAUUAUAUAUACAUUUUGUUCACUGUCAAGGCUGUAUGGCAAUAUGCCCUGCAAAGAUUUGAAGUCUCUUUUUGGCAAAAGCUAGCCGAUGGACAACGAUUGGAUGCACUUACUUCAUUAAUUUUAUGAAUUUGCUCAGAAAGUUUGCUAAUAUAAUACAAGUAUUUGUAUUAUGUCCCAAAUCUCAGUCUGGAAGUUUUGAAGGUUUGGGAAGGAAGACUGAGCUAGCUAUUGUAAAGGAAUAUGUAUACCUCUCUCUCUCUGCACUUAAACCAUUGAGAAAGUAAGAUACAUUAUUUAGGGCACUUUAAUCUUUAAUUUUUGUCAUUUCAUGUUCCUGUGAUAAUUUGACAUAUCGAUUGAAGAUGCUCGUGAUGAAUUAUAUGCUUUGAUUUAUCUAGUAUUAACAAGAUGCACCUUACUUUUAGGUGGCCAAUAAGUCUGUAUUAUCUUCAACUUUUGAACGUUUGGAAAUGAAUAUUGAGCAAGCUAUUGGUGCUUACGACCUAACCCACGAUUAACUCGACUUAAAUAAGCUUUCGUGCACGAUUGCAAGCGCAUGCCACUCUCAACAUAAACCAUUGAGAAAGUAUAAAACAUUAUUUGAUCAAAAUCUUUUGUCAUACAUGACCUCAUUUCUUUUCUUGCAUCAACAUGCCAUGCUUGAUCAGACACAACCGGCUAGAAAAAAAAAAAAGUAUUAGCAACUCUAUAACGAUCCAUUUGAACAUACAUGUAAUAUAUAUAUACAUAUAUUUUGAAUACAAUUAAUAGUCUCAACUAUAAAGAUGAGGAAGUUUUUCACACACACUACUAAUAUGUUAUGGGAAUUCGAAUAUAAGACUUCUGGUGUGUAAGUCAAUAUCCUUUUUCAUUGAGCUAUAUCUAUAUAAACGCAUUUCAUGUCAAUGAUACAUUUAUAACUAAACUAAGUACAUUGCUUUAUACGUUAUUUACUUCUCUUUCUAGAGUUAUACUCCGAUACCGAAACAAUAUUGUUCUCAUAAGGGAAAUGAGUAUAGAAAAAUACAAAUGUAUAAUCGUAUAUUCUUUAUUUGCAAUUAAGAAAAUGAAGUUUUUGCAUUGAUAACUAUUAGAAAAGUCCUUAUGCACUCCUUGCUUAUCUCUAAUCAAAAGAAAACGGAUGAGGAAUGAAUUAAAAAGAAAAAAUAGACAAACAAGAAAUCAAUCAAGAAUGUCUAAUUUAUAGGCAUUGAUUCGUGGCUUGAAGCCGUUCGCUAUAGUAGCCUAAGCCUAGCCCCUAGAAAUACGAAGCACUUCCAUUGAAGUACGAUUAGGAUGAUGAUACAGGUUAGGUAUAGACUAAGACUGUAGAGAAAGAAACUCAUUGUUCUCUUCUCUUACAUUUUCUUUGGACCACCCUUACAAACAUCUCUUUCUUCCACUAUACAAAAUUGAAAAUUCCCUCUCUCUCCCUCUCUGUAUAUAUAUUUGGCUUUGAGUUCCCCGAUAGCUUAAACCAUUUCAGCUUCACUGUUUCAUUUUACUCUCUAGCUACUCAGUCAUAUUCCGUCACACUUUUUUCAACGGUUCAGCCCCACGGAUUUUGGAGCUUUUUGGUCUUUGAGUUUGGACUCCUUGGUCAAGAAAAAUCCCUCCAUGGAUUCACAGGUCUUGAUGGCUCUGGCUCUCUCACUUGUGGGUGGACUGAGUACUUCAAUCGGUUAGUAAAAAGCUCAUGCUUAUUCAUCGACUGCUUCAACUACCCAUUUCAGCAAUUUCAAAUUCAAAUUGUCACAUUUAGGAAGAUUUUGUUGUUCUUGUUUCGUUUGUCAAGUAAUGCUUAUCCAAAUUUGCUUCUGGGUAUUUCUUACUUUUGGGUUUUGGCUUCAAAUUUGCUUUCUUUGUUUGACUUUUUGAGUUUUAGAUAGAAGUCUGAUAUUGGUUAAUUUGCUGGUGGGUUUUGUAAAUUAGCUUCUACUAGUUUCAGUUCCCUAUCCAUCAAGUUGUUGCGAAAUUGAGGUUUAAUGGUGUAGAAGGCAUUGUUGGGAUGUGUUCCCGCUGUUUUCUAGGCCAGUUCUUUUGUAUUAGUCAUGUUGUGAAAAAGGCUUUUGAUUUUUAUGGAAUUUCCUAAUUUCUGAUGUUCACCUCAUUGCUCAGUAAAUCAGCUUCUGUUCUGGAGUCUAAUGAAAGUCUUGGAAUGUGGUACAGGUGCACUUUUUGUAGUUCUCAAUGAGGCUCCCAAUUUGAAGAUACUUGGGCUUUUACAGGUGCUCUGAUUCAUAUCCUUAAAUUCUGAAAUUUUAUUUGUUCCCUGGUUCGGUCAUUUUCUUAAAGAAUUAGCUCAUGUGUUGACUCAAUUGCUUACAUUUUCUUCUCUCUUCAGGGUUUUGCUGCAGGUUUGAUGCUAAGCAUAUCAUUCCUAGAUUUGGCUCACAAUGCUAUAAAUUCUAUUGGCUUUUUAAAAGGCAACCUAUGGGUAAGCCAUACACUUUAGUGUUUGUCUGAUUCAAAUCCAUAACCUCUCCGACAUGAGUUGCUCAUGUUUUCUUUUAGAAUUAUAUGUAAAAUUUAUCGGUGGUGCAGUUUUUUGGCGGUGUCAUAUUCUUUGGUAUCAUUGCCAAUUUUAUUCCAGAACCAACACUUGCUCCUAGUUCAGAUGUGAGAGGUAAAAAGGUAGUAAUCAACUUUUCUCCUUCUAAUUGAGCAAUUUGUGGAUGCUUUUGCAUAUGAUUUGGCAUUAUACUUCUACCCCAAAUAGAAGGCAUGUUUGACUGUGCGACAAUAUACUUAACAACAGAAAAGUGGGGAUGAAGGGGGCAAGGACACUUUGAAGAAGCAUCGCCGCCAAGUUCUAUACAGUGGGAUAAUUACAGCAAUAGGUAUACUACUUGUUUGAGAUGGUUUAAACUACCUUCCAUACUGUUCUUUGAAUUAGAAGACAAAAUUAAUUUGAUGUUACAUGUGGAAUUGGAAACUUUAGUUAGUUAAUGGUUGCAUGUUGAAAUUUAAAAGCUUGUUUUGAUAAAUUAAGUCAAGUUAGUCAAAUCUAUAAAUUAGAAAAACCAUUUUUAUGUCUUUGUGUUUUGGAUAUGUCUUUUGUUGUUGUUUUUUUUUGGGCCUACAAGAAGAAUAAAAUCUACCCCUCUUCUCACAACCCAAGGCCUAGGGGUGUUUUGCAUCUUCUGCACGUUUUGAAUGUUUCUAAUAGCUUACAGCAAUACUUUUUAUUUUCUGGACUUUUUAUUUUCUUCCCCUUUUGAGAAAUAAAGUCUGAGAAAAUGUUUGAGUAAUAUGGUUAAUGUCUAUAGUUGAUCCCCUCUAAUGUGGAAUAUCAUGGCCAUUGAGUUGCAGGCAUAAGUUUACACAACUUUCCAGAAGGAAUGGCCGUGUUCCUUGGAUCAAUGAAGGUACCUCUAUCUUAAGUUUUUAUUGUUCUUAGAAUAUUGAGUUAAUUCUAAGUUUGAUUAGAUGGAUGAACUCAUGCUUAUAUUGAUUUGAAUUUCACAAUAUGUGUCUGAUUUAAAACAAAACAAAAUUAUUUUUAAAUUAUGUCUAUAAAAAUGUCUUCUUGAAUGGUCAGACUUCCUUUGAUUCUUGAUGUGCAAUACUAAUGCAGUUUUCUUUGCCUAAUUAUUUUAAGAUAUGUUGUCGAUAUAAUAUAGUAUGGGGGUAGUGCGACCAUUUAAUUAACUUAUACUCACCAACUAUACCAACUAUUUAGUAUUCUUCAUGACCAAAUUAGAUGUAUUAUUAUUUAAGAUACAAUCUAGAUGGUGAAAUUUUAUUUAUUUUUCUUCCUUGUGAUGCAGUUUUAGCUUUAUUCCUACAUUCAACCAAUUAAUUUGGUCACGGAAGCUCUGUAUAUGUUGCUAUCUUCUUGAAGCACAGCUUCCGAUGCUGUGGUUCCUAGUAUGGGAACUCAUUAGUAAAGCUACUGUAUUUUUCCUAUCUAAAACAAUUUUAGAUGCUUACAGAUCCUGGCUUAUAUGUUUUUUUCUUCUUCUUAAUUUCAUAGAUGUAUAUGCUAGUUGAAAUUGCUAAAUACGUGUGCCAUUCCAUGCAUUCUUGUAUGUUUUCUUUUCUUCUACUGUAUAUUGGUUUUGAUUUGCAUGGUCUUUUCAUCAUACGGGAUUGGUGGUUGUAGAUGCAGCAAGAAUGGUUUUCGAUAUCUGUUUGAGGACUAUAAUUGCUGCUGAUGCUAAAUGUCAUAUACCAUUCUUGCUUGUUCCCUAAUUGUUUGCAGGGCCUUCGUGUUGGUGUCAACUUGGCCUUGGCCAUUGCCUUACACAACAUUCCAGAGGUAUGUAUAUUCUCUAAUACUUGUACUGUGUGGUAUUGCUCUAAUUGCUCGCACUCUGCCAUUGAUUAAAGUAGGACAUAAUUGUUUGUACCUUCCAGGGUCCACCACUUACCAUAAUAACAAUGGCUGGACUGGUAAUUUUGGUAAUAUAAUGGACAGGUUCCUUUGCUAUUAAGGAUACAAUUUUUGGAAUAUAUGGAACUAAUGUUGAUUGCAAGAAUAGUGCACAUCGCAACAAAGAGAAAUUGAAAGAAAAAGGAUGGAAAAUUGCAUUCAACAUUUCAAAAAUUCAAAAACCUGUCAAAUGAUUUCCGAGUUUCUAAAUGAAAGAUUCAAUAUUUUUAAAGAUUGUAUUCUGUGUUUUGGUUAUGAAUAUCAUCAAACUCUAAUUGUUCAUAAACUUCAUGCCCAGAGUGUGAUGAGCAAAAUUGUAGACUAUUAAAUAGAUAGAGGUUGCUUUAAAUUUUGAGUUUGGACUUAUAUUAAUGUAGAACUACUAUUGUUAUUAUAGUGACAACUUUUUCUUUUCUAGGGCGUCGCUGUUGCACUUCCUGUUUACUUCGCAACACAGAGGUGAGAAUUUUUGGAGUUGGCUUUUUGAAGUACUUAUGAAUUGUGACAAACAAUGGGUUUACUUUCUUUCUUCUUUUUUUUAAAUAACUCUCAAGUGUCUUUAAUUAACCCUGAAGGCAGACAAAAAUAUUUUUAAAAAGGUAGUGGUCUUUGGUAAAAUGAUGUCGACUCUGAGGGUUUUGGUAAUUUUGUUAGAAGUGGUGGAGGUAGUUGUAGUUUUGGCAGUGGUAUGAAAUUGUUAUUGAAUGUGGUAAUGGAAAAGGCAGUUCUGUCAUGGUUGUACACGGGCAGUGUUAUGAUGGUUUAAGCAACGAUGUUGGUGGUGGAGGAUAUCAUGUUUGUGGCUGUGCGCUACUCCUGGUAAUGGGUUCCGGUGGAGCAAUAUAAAUACUAGUGGUAGUGUCUGGUGGUUUGGUAACUAGCUAUUCUUUAGGAUGUCAGUGCCGUAGUUUGGAAAUUGGAUGCAGAUUGUCUCACUUCAGAAGCAGAGGGUUUCAAUCAAAAUUUUAACUCAAUUUUUUUUUUUUUUUUUUGAAUAAUAGACAUGAGUUCUAAGCUUCGUUCACUUUAGAGCAAUAAUUACUUCAUAAGUUUUUGUUAGCCUUUAUAUCGAGACAAUUUUAUGAAUCUCUCUCAAACGAACACUGAAUCAUUCUUAUGAGAAAUUAUUAAAUGGUGGGUUUUCUACAUGUCCCAGCAAAUGGCAGGCAUUCAAAUUGGCAACACUUUCUGGUUUUGCUGAGCCUUUGGGUGUCAUAAUUGUAGGUAUGUCAACUGUGAAAAGAAACUUAGAUAUCUUUCUUUUACCAAUCUUAAUGGGAAGGGUGGAUUUAGAAUAGGUGCUUGAGUCCUGAAUUUCUUCAAGGCCACUUGUUCAUGGUUUUCACUUCUGCUACAGCCUAUCUAUUUCCAAGCAGCUUGAGUCCUGAUAUUCUUGAAGGCUUGCUGGGAGCAGGUUUGCAAAUUAAUGAUAAUUUAAUAUAUCAACUGAAUAAGAAUUAUUUUUUAUGAAAAUUUUGGUUCCCAUGCAUUUUUGUUGUCACACAGUUGGUGGAGUAAUGGCUUUUCUAACCCUGCAUGAGAUGCUUCCCUUGGCGUUUGAUUAUGCGGGGCAGAAGCAAGCUGUCAAGGCCGUAUUUUUGGGAAUGGCCUUCAUGUCUGCAAGGUAAUACUUAUGUUUUAAAUAUACUGAAGAAAAAUAUUCGAGAAUGUCGCUCUUACAAAUGCAAAUAGGGUACUUGUUGGUAAAGGAGUUUUUCAGAGUAACUAGCUGUUUAAUUUCUUUUUAUCAAUAUCUAGAAAAGGGUUAGAGAAUCUGAGGGUGUGAUAUUUGUAGCUGUACAUAAGUGUUGCUUAUUCUCCUUACAGAUUACUCUCUCUUUGCCUGUUUUGCAGCCUCUACUUUCUCGAAAUCAGCCUACCUCAGGAGAUGAGCUUGUAGCUGUGUUCCAUCAUUCCAUGGAUCUUACCCCACAGUAAUUUACAUUGUUGUACAAGUCUACUGACUUUAGACCGCCUUCAAUAGAUCAUUUCGUUUCUGCCUGAAGACCUGUAGUGAUUUUAAUCGGCCUUUAAUAGCUCAUCUGGUUUCGGCGCAAAGGAGAAAGUAAUACCCCAAGGAUGGUAGUUCAUACUCGAUAUAAAAGAGAUGUACUUAUUUUUUCCUUUUAAUAAAUAUGUAAAAUGAAUAGUGUACGGAACUUGAUUUCUUUACUGAACACUCUUUCAUUUUCCUGUAUUUGAAUAUGAAUAUUGCAGAUAACAGUACCACCCAAACAUGUGAUGUACAGAGUGUAUUUUACUUCCACAUAAGUUGAGUCGUGGAUUAGAUUUUUCAUGGAUGAUCCUGAAUGAAAACUGGUUAGAACAAUCCAUGGCUGGAAAUUGUAUUAUCCAUAUAAGUUAUGGAGUUGAAAACAAUUUCAAUAUCCAAUAAGGUGAUAUAGGUAUGAAUUAUAUGGUUCACUUUCCUCCGUAAAGUAUUCGCUGUAAGUAAAUUAGUCAGCGAAAUUUGCUAGCUUGAAAUGGUAAUUGCAAAUUUGCAACAUUAUGAAUCCUGUAAAAUCUUAUGGUUAGACAAAUUUGUGCUCUGGAAUGGUAAAAGAGACAACUGAAUAACACCACGAUCCCAAACAUGCAUUAAGAAUAUGCUCCUUCAACAACAGAUAGAUUCCAAGACCAGUAGGAAGAACAUUUUGUUCUUCCUAGUGCAAGACUCUUGGCAUAUCUUGAUAUUUUAUGUAAUUAUUUCUCUGCAAUAUCAGAUUCUAAUAUUUUAUUGCUUUUGGCUUGGCAUAUACAUCACAAUCCCAUGUAGGUUGAGCAACCAAAGGAAACGACAUGUGAAUUUCAAAAAGGCAUGAAAAAGGAAAAGAAAAGACAAGAAAAGAAAGGCAGCAUAUAUAUAGAUAUAUGAUGACUCGUGUAUGGAUCAUGCUGUUAUGACAUGCAAUGCACAACACUUAAACUUUAAUCCAUAUAAAAAGUUUAGGAGAUUCCAAAGACCUAGCCAUCAUAGUUUUGAUUUUCUGUUGAGUGGUCAAUUGAAAUGAAGGUCUUCUCCUCUUCAAUCUCAUAAUGACUUCCCAUCUAGGAAAUCAUUGUAAUUUCUUGGAAAUGCAAUUUCAGAAACAAAAAACUAAUCUGGACAACAUGGGAUUAAAGCUGUCUAGUCCUAUCUUCUUAUGCAAAAAGCAUUUGAUGAGAUUUGUGAAAUUGAAGAGAAAAUGGGGGUAAAUAAAUAGUGAGAAAUUCCACUCAAAGAAAAAAGAGAAGAAAAGACUAAAGGUGUUUUAUUAGGUAAAGUAGAGUGGGGAAGGAACCAAAAUCAGGUUUUUUUGACAAAAGCUUUUAUUGGUAAGAGAAUUUCUUAGAACUAACCAAAGCUUAUUAUGGGAUUUAGGCUGUCUAGUCCUGUCUUUCCCUUGUGAUGCAAAAAGUUAGCUUUUGAUUGGAUUUAUGAAAUUGAAGAGAAAAUGGGAUAUGGCUACAGCUAGUGAGAUUAGUAUAGGAACUAUAUUAUAUGCACACACUCAAAGCAAAAGAUAAGAAAAGACUUAAAGGCCUUUCAUCACCCGAAGGAUCAAGUAAAGUUAACAAAAUCAAGUUUUUUUGUCCAACGCUUUAAAAUUGCACGAUUUACUUCAUGAAUAUGAUUAUAAAUAAAUAAAAAAGUAUUUGAAGGACAGAGAAUUAAGCACACCAAGAACACUGGGAUGUAAUUGAAGCACAGGUAAUUGGACAUGAUGCAAUUAAUCACUACAAGAAAAUUAUUGGUGUCCGUCUGCUAUUAGACGCUAAUAGUAGUGGCUAAUAGCUAACAUCGACAAUUAUUGGUGUCCGUCUGUUAUUAGACCCUAAUAGUGCCUUUAGCCACCUUAUCCUCUACGACUAAUUUCAGUGACUAAUGGGGUUUUUUGCUUGUAGUAUUCUUCCCAACAUUAUCAAUAACCCCAUCACUAACUUUGUAUCUUCAUCUGAAUCAACUACAUCUUUAAUUUCAUCCCAUUAUAUAUAUACAGUGCAAUUGUACAUGAUCUACAGCCUACAGAGAAACCUUAGGCUUAACAUUAUGGGAUUUUUGUACGUUUUUAUGGUCAGGACAAAUAAGCAAUAGGAAUGCUUCUGAGUUCAUAGGUCCUUUAUUGAUGUUGAAUAGUAAGUUAUCUGUUCAAUCACACCAGAAAUACUAUUGCUAUAGCUACCUAUAGGCUAUCACCUAUGCUUAGCUCUCUAGUGCUAAAUCCAAAUUCUACACAAUAUUGCAUCUGUUUUGUGCAUUGUAAAAAAAGGGUUUAAAUCAUGAAUUAAAAGUUAUAAAAGAAGAAGAAGAAGAAAAAAAACACAUUCUGGUGCAAGUUUGCAAACCUUUGCUGCUGUCACUGAUCUUUUUUAUUACUUGGACGUGUUUUGCGUAUGCUUUUUUACGCUUUCCAUUUUCUAUCUGCACUAGCAUACUUUAUUUUAAUUUAGUACCUAGGUUAUAGCACUUUGCCAUAUUUGCGUCUAAAUUAUUGCUUCCACAGAAAAAAGUAGGAAAAAUACAAAGAAAAAGAAAAAAAGAAACAUUAUAUAAGUUCAUUAUAUUGUACAUCUUCAAUGUGAAACAUGUAUCUUUUUCUCUCCAUUUAAUGAUGAUAUACUUUCUUUAUUUCUUUCAAGAUUUUGUCCAUAUUCCCCUACAUUGAGACCCCAUCCCCCAUGUUAUGUUAUAUAAUAUACAUUGAUAAAAAUAGGGGGAAAAAACACCAAGUUUGCAAUAUAAAACCAAUUUAGCGUAGGAUAAUCGAUGAGUAAGCUUAUGGUAUGUAUUAUAUAUAUAUAUAUAGAGAGAGAGAGAGAGUAUAUUCAAAUGGAUUAUUACUUUUGCUCUUUAAUUUCGUUUUACAAGUGAUUGGGGGAGGGAAUUUAUACAAUUAUUAAAUGGGUGUUUGGGAGUUUCGAAUCUCUGUCCGCAUGAGUGGAAGUGGAAAAGAUCAACCAACAGAACUAUACCCACAGAUUUUACUCUCUCUACUUUAAGUUACUUUUUUAUAUUUAUUUUUAUAAAGUUCUUAAGUGAUAAAUGUGUCAAGAAUUCGUAUUCGCCCAUCUCUAUUUUCCUUAUGCAUGGGGAUCCCUUUACCAAAUAAAUUAUUUCCAUGCUAAUUCAAAAUAAUCAUAACCAUAUAUAUAGAAAUGCGUCCUCCAAAACAAAUAUAUAUUAGUUUAUUCAUCCCCAAAAGAUAUUUAAGGACAUCUUGUAAUAAAUUACUAUUAAACCAAUUAGGUUUGGUCCUAGCCAAUCGAUGUCUCUCGAGACAAGAAUUCGGUAGUAUGCACAUUGAGACGUAAUAGGGAGACAAAGUUGUCCCCUUUGUGCUGGCCAUGCCAAUAGAAGGACUCAACAAUAGAGAGAACAAAUUUAUACCUUCAUGGACAGUCUUGGCUCUGCUACCAUAUACCAUUCUCUUCGUUUUUCUUUUCAUUUUUUAAUGCGACAUGAGGUAUCUUAACCUCAUUAAUCCAUAAUUAGGGUAAAUGAAAUGGUUUAAGGGGUUCUUAACACAAUUUCAAGCUCUUUUGGGGGAUUCAGAAAUAGAAAUUCUAAACAACCAGGGGACUUCACAGCAGUUGAGAUUCUACUUAAAGUGUCGGCCUAAAGCCAAAAAUGAGAAAAGGGAAAGAAAAAUAAGUUUAUAUAUAUAUAUAUAUAAUUACAUAUAUACAUAUGUGUAUAGAGAGUACGUACUAGCGUAAUCAUACAUAGAUGCAUGGUGGGGACUAGCAUCUACCUUCUAUGCAAUUAUUCUUUUUCUUUACCCAUUUUUUAAUUAAGAGUUUGGUAGGGUAACUUUCAUGCAAGUGAUUCUAAAACCAGUUGGUUGUGAGUGGAAGUUUAUAUUUUAAUAUAUUUACCAGUUAUGAUAUAAGUGCGUUGAUAACAUCAUAUAAUAGUGUUACGGUUACACCAAAUAAUUUGCUUAUUGUAAACGUAUUGAUGUCAAAAAGCAAAAGGACAAUUUAUAGGAACCUGCUGUAUAAAACCAAGACAUGGGAAUAUGGGAUGAAGAAGAGAUGAUGUCUCAGUGGGGUUUUUUAGUGGUGCAGGCAAAUGGUGAUUAGUGCUAGCUGUGAGUCAGUGACGGAUCACUGGCUGGGAAUAACAAGGAGAACAAGAAAAGAAUCACAGAGCUGGACAGAUUAUUAAUGAAUAAAUUAACUGAUUAAUUAAUUAGGGUACGUAGGGUAUUUUACGUUCUGUUAAAUCUAUCUAGAUAGGGUACAAUGAAACCAUAAUAACUGUCAAAGACUGGCAAAAACUUACCUCAUCAUCAUAAAAGUGAAAGACAGAGCUUGAGAGCUCAUGACCUGGGAAGGGAAGGGAAGGGAAGGGAAAAGGAGACAUAAAAUGUGAAGCUGAAUUGGGACACACGCUGAACCCACCAAACAGUACAUACUCUGUAUAUAUUUGCAGCUUGAUAUGACAUUUCAAGACUUCUUUCUCUUCUUUUCUCUUUUGACUGCACUACAGACACAAAUAUUACUCUCUCUCUCUCUCUCCCUCUCAUAAAGCUGCCAACAAGAUCCAUUAUAUCCCUUCCAACCUCUGUAGUCUGUGGGAUAUAUAGUGAAAAUAAUAAAUAAGGUUACAGAAAUAAGAACUAGCUACUACUGUAGUGUAGUGUCUUAUUAAUUGCACAUCUACCUCUCUCUCUCUCUCUCUCUCUCUCUCUCUCUCUCUCACUUGCGUGAACCUAAUCAAUAUUUGAUUUGAAGUUGAAUUUAAUCUUAUUAAUGUAAAUAUAAACACAGAAGGACCGUAAGCACUCAUAAGAAAAAAAUAUUAAUUCCUCCGAAAAAUCGUAUUAUGGGAAAAUGAGGAAAUGGGAUCUGUCAUUUUUAGUGAGGGGGCUUCACAUUUCUCUUGAUAUAAUGCUUAGGUAAACGUCGAAAACAUGUACUUUUCAAUUCUCCAAAUAAGGAGGCCAAAGGAACAAUGCAUGAAAUUUUCAAUUCAAUCCCAUGAACUUAUUUUUUUAUUGCUUUUUCCCAUGAACAUAUAUAUGUCACUGUCUACCAAUGCACUGUUUUGACUAAUGUGCAUAUCCUUUAGAAACUUUGAAGAACACACGCUUGGCUUGGGAUCUCUGAGUUGCGUGUAUAUAAAUUAUACGACUUGAGCUGCUUAAGCCUUUUGCCCUUUCGUUGUUUUUGAUGUUUUUGGUGUUUCCAACAACUAGCAAGCAAGUCCUAUAUAUCCACCAAAGGGUUUUUACUCUUAAUUUGCAAUUUAGAGAUGAGAAAAAGUGGGAUAUACUUGUUGGAAAAAUGAGAGCAUAUUGUAUUCAUUUUCCUCAUGGCCAUGUAUAGCUAAGAUAUGUACUUUCACCCAAAAAAACUGAUGAAAAGAAAUUGCCAGUGAGCAUGAGAGAGAGCGAGAGAGAAAUUACAGGAACUUGGUUUAUCGUUGAUGUAUGAGGAGCCAUUGCUAAUUAAGGAAGCUUUUUAAAAAAUAAGGAAAAAGAAGAAGAAGCAAGAACAGAAGAAUGAAGAAAAGAGCAUAGCUAGGCUAGCUAGCUUCCGGUCAUAAGCAAAUUUUUAGCUGCCCAUCCAUAAAACGUUAUUCUGACCCAAGGUCACUAACUAGCUCACUGGGAAGAGUAAUUUUCCUCAAUUUCAGAGGCUGCAUCAUCAUCUUCUUCAAAACAGUCAAUGCCAUAAGCUGCAUGGCCAUGUCCAAAUGCCUUGAUAUGAUCUUUGAGAGACCUCUUGUGCUUGAAAUCAGAGCCACAAGUGCAAUACCAAAGCUUGCCACAAUUCUUCUCAUGGGUUCUCCAAUCACCUCUCACUGCAAAAGCCUUGCCACAUUUUCUACACAUGAAAGGCUUGAUCCCAUGCUUUCUCUUGUAAUGAGUUUGGAGGGUUCUGAAGUCUUUGAGAGGCUUUGACCUUGGAUGGUCAAUGUUGUUUCUGCAACCUGGUGCACAGCAAUAGCAAGGCAGUCUAAGCAUGGCUGUUGGCUGUGUUCCUCUUAGAGACUCUGGCCCUUUUCUGUAUUGAGAUCCAUGCCCCCACAUAUGCAUCUACACAUAUAAUUUUAUUAAUUAGUCAAGCAAAAACCCACCUCAAGCUGAUGAGGGAAGAAAAAUGAAAAUGUAAAGGAACUAGCUUUCACCGAAUAAAAAGUUGGACUUGUUGUGCAUAAGAUUCGGAUGUCUUUGAAAUGUUGAUUCUUUUUAGACUUGUUUGAAUAUAGCUAGCAUUUGUAAUUUGUUCUUUUUCUAAAACAAACAUGGGUGAUGGGUCAAGGUGUUUUCAAAUGAAAAGAUAAAGCAAACGUUAUAUAUAGCACUGUUGAUGAUACUGAGAAAUUUAUUGGUUCCUCGGGGUUUAAUGAGGAAGAUCAUCUGAUUCUGAAGGCAGGAAGAACUUGGGUUUGAGACAGCUGCCAAGCCAAUGUGAGAGACACAAACUUCAAGGAGCAAAAAGCACAAUUGCUGUGUAGUUCAAUCACAUAAAGAGGGGUGCUAGAGCUGAUCAUAAUUAUUCUCAGAGACUCAGUCUUGGACCAGGUAGCUAGCUGAGAUUUAUUCUUACUUUUUAAAUCCCAAAACCCACAAAUCAUGCAAAAAGAUGAAAAAAAAAAAGAGUGGCUGGUGUGGUGAUCAUAAUAUAAAGUGCCAUUCUGGACAUACAAAACAAAAGAAAGUAAAAAUGAUUUAAAGUUGCAAGAAGAAGAAAAGGGAAACCCUAAGGACCCAUAUAGUACCACUGCUCUUUCCUCUCACCAGUCCACAGCAUAUAUAUAUAUAUAUAAUAAUAAAAGUUAAAGACUAAAAUCAAGCUAAAAAAGAAGUGUACAAAACAAAGAUAGAUAGGAAUGGAUUUGCUCUUUCUCAGUAAAAUCAAGAGAAUAUGAUCAGAAGCAGAAAGUGAUGGGAGCUAGGAAAACAAAAAGUGAAUACUUUUUUCUUUAUAAAAAUAAAUAAAUAUUUCACACAACUUUUUUUUUCUUUUUUUUUUUUCCCCUCUAGCUGAGAAAUCAUGGAACAAUUCAGACAUAUAUGAAAGCUAAAAUAUGUUGUACCUGCAUGUUAUUGUAUCUGUUGAACGUCUUGAAGCAAAGAGGGCAUGAGAACUGGGUUGGACCAAUUAAAAUCUGAGUAGGAGUAGGGAUCCAAUACUGACCCUUGUUGAGUCUGUUUGGGGCAUACCCAGCUGAAGCAACAGUCACAUCUACUACUUCUUUAUCUGAUGAGAUUUCUGGGGAAGAGAGCCUAGAGAUCAAAUCAGUUGAUAGGGUCCUGCUUGGAAGCCCUAAAUGUAAAGCCACAGUAACAGUUUCAUCAUUUUCAUCUUGAUCAACAAUAUCAGCAGAGCUGGAGACGACCAAGCUUUGUUGAUCAGCUGAGUCUUUUCUACUGUUGUUGUUGUUGUUUUGAUGAUCAGCUUCCAUGGCAUUGAAAGAGGGUUCUUGCAAGUCUUCAUGAGGAUGAUGGUGUCUUGAAGGGCUUAGGCUGAGGAGGGGAAGGGCUUCUCUUAGAGGAGGUGAGGGAGGUGAUGAUGAUGAAGAAGAAGACUGGUGGUGAUUAAUGAAAAAGCUUUGAUUGUGCACCAUCAAGUUAUUUGAUGAGCAAAAAUUGUUGCAGUCUCUAUAAUUAGGAGGAGCAUGGAAAUUAUAUGGAUUAAUAGAAGAAGGUGUGGGGGGGGAGGAGAGGUGGUGGAGAGGGUUGAGAUUGAACCAGCCAUUAUUGAAGUAAUUAGAGUAGGGAUCUGUCAUGGUGAUGAUGAUGAGAGGUGGGAGAAGCUAGAGAAUGGAUGGCUUGCUAGGAUUGGGUUAAUAUACACACAGAAGGGGGAGAGGGAGAGAGAGGACUAAAAGUAAAUAAUAAGGUGGAGGAGGAGAGUGGAGACCUAUUGAACAAAAUCACCAACUCAAAAAGAAGCAGCGGUGUAGUGUGAGUGUGAAGGGUUAAAGAAAUGUCAAAAAUCAAGGUUGAUAAAGCAAACCCAACUGAGUAAAAGGAGAGACAAGAAAUCACUUGUGAGGUGUGACCAAACAGUGACAAAAUAUGCUAAAGAAGAGAGAGAGAGAGAGAGAGAUAAUCUUGGGACUUGAAAGGACAAGUCAUCACUUAUUGAACACUGUGUACAAACGGUAUACAAUUAUGUGUACAUACUAGCUAUAUGUAAAGGAAGAAAAUAAAAUUUACCUCACCAACCCGAAGACUCAACUUUGAUGAUGAACGAGUAUAACAAAGGCAUAAGACAAAGUUGGUAAUUAAGAUUGUGGAGCUUGUCCCCCAUCAUUCCAUUCCUCAUGCUCCCAUUGAAUAUUGAUGAGAGAGAGAGAGAGAGAGAGAGAGAGAUUGUACAAUAUACAACCAUCCAUGCAUACAGCUGAACACAAGCUAGCUAGCUAUAAGCUAAGGGUUGUAAUUUUGAGAUAGAUGUUAUGUAACUAUACAUAUACCAUAUUAUUUUAAAAUUUUAAUUGAAUUUUCUGUGGCUUUGGGAGACAUACAUAGUUAGAUCCAAACCCAGCAUUUGCUUUGGUGGGCGGGCCAUGGUCGGCUAAAUUGGCUCCCCACGAGCACAGAGAGAUAUUGUCCUCAUCUCAUCUCAUUACUGUUUGCUUGCUUGUUUACAUGCACAACAACAACGUUACUGUUUCUUCUCUCUCUCUCUCUCUCUCUCUCUCUCUCUCUCUCUCUCUCUCUUUCACAUCUCUCUCUCUCUCGGCUGAUCUGCUAUAACAGCAGCUGAAGCCCAUUUAGAUUUAUUUAAUUUUUCUUCUAAUUAAUACGUAUAAUGGUAUGGGCCAACAAACUCUGUCUACGUAUUGAGCCGACACUGGUAGUAAUAUUGACCUUUGACAAAAAUUUCGUGUCGUGAAAUUACAUCUGUUUACUAAAACCUUUUAUGAAAUAAAUAUAUAUGUGUCCCCAUAUUAUCCUAAGCCUUAAAACAUCUAUGUCUAAGAGAAAUAUAUAUAUAUAUAUAUGUAUAUCAGAGAGCUUUCAUUGAGGGAUCCCUCAAAUAAUAUUUGAGGGACACCUCUUGUAGGCCCCACUCCGGAUUGUAUUUCACUAAUCCAAACCGUCUAUUUUGUAGAUACUCAUUCAAAGAUCAUCUCUACAAAAAAUCACUUGAAUCCGAUAUCAUGUGACCACUCAAUUGAGUUAUUGAAAUUUUAGUACUUUUCUUAAAGCACCGUGUUCAUUGAUUUUGUAAGACACAAUUGGAUGUCGAAACGGUUUUCGAUUUGUCUAAUUUUUUGUAAGGAUGAUCUAUGAAUGAAUACCUAAAAAAUAGAUGGUUUGGAUUAUUGGGAAAAGAAUUGUAGGGUACUCUAAAGGGCGUCCCUCAAAUAAAAUUAUUUGAGGGAUCCCUCAAUAGAAGGGGACUGUAUAUAUAUAUAUUUAAAUUACAAAAUCAAAAGGGCAGCUUAAGAUUCUUGUGACAUCCCUAUUCAUAAAUUUACAAUUGUUCUUGUAAAAUGUUCAACUACCUCUCAAGAUCUGGUAUUCAGAGUAGAAAUGUACAAAUUGAAGGUGGUUCGAAAAUGUAUUGAUGCGCUUAAAGUAUAUUUUGCUGGAGGAAAAAAUGAUAAGGGAAGAAAAAACCUUUUUCCAUUUUCGUGGCAAUUAUGCUAUUAGAUCGGUUUUGGGAAGAAGACACACUUGCGAAAUGUUAUUGGGACAAAGAACAAAAGAACAUAAAUUCAGGAAAACAAGUUUGCUGCAAACUCUGAGCAGCAUGGCAGUGGCUACCCACAUCACUCCAAUUCGGUACCAAAUUGCCAGUACUUUCUAGUCCCAUAUACAUUUCGCGUACAAUAUUAUAGAGACUUGGUGUGUGAAUGAAUAUCACAUUCAAAGUCACAUUUCAGUGCAUGGGACCCUCUCAAUAAUAGAGAAGAGUAAUGCUAAUGCUAUCAAUUGUCGACCAUGUGCGCACGUGAGUGACGGUAAUUCGUUAAUGCAACACGAUAUAUUAAUGAUUAAAAAUCACUUAUAUAGUGCGUGAACGAUUGUUGCUAGCAAAAUUAUAUAGAAGAAGAAAUAUAAUGUGGGUUGAGGAAAUUGAUUGAUAUCUGUCAUAUGUGAGCAUUAACAUGUGGAUAACUUUUUAAAUUUCCUUUACUUUUUAACGAAUAAAACGUGGGGACAAUCUGGAUGAUUGGGCAUUCUUAGCAAUUGGAGCCAGAAGAACAGUAGGUAUGAAUUAACUUUUGUAUUUUAUGAAAAGCAAACGCCUUUUUCUGCUAGUAUAAGUAUAUCGUAUUUGCUAAAAAAUACGAAGACGAGCCAUUUUUUUAACUUUCUACCUGGCAAUGUAGGAUGGUCCUAUUAAAAAAUGAAUAAUCAAAUUAGGGCUCAGGUCAACGCAAUUAAGAAAUUGGACUUGGGCUAAACCUAAGUGAAGAAAGUCGGGUCAUGUCAAGCCCAAUCCGGAAAACUUAGGGCCAACCUUAUUUUUUUUUAUCUUCUCUCUUUUAAAUCUUUCCUUUUUCAUUAUUACAAUGUAUGGAUAUUAUUUUGUUGUAAAAAGAAAACGGAUUAAAGAGUGGUAAUGAAAAUAAUUUCAUUAGAACUGGGUCGUGAGUAUUAAGCCUGACCCAGAUCAUGAGCAAGGAAGUAAAAUGGGGGUGAAAGCGAAAUAAUAUCCCCAUUUGACAGUGGAUAAGAUGAAGGCAAAGCAACCCAAUGAAACAAGACCAUUAUGAAGAAAAGCAUGUACAACAUCAAGGAAAAAGAAUAAUAAAUGAAUUAACAGACAGCCGGACAAAGUAACACGGGCCCUAAUUCCGGUGUCCAACCCCGAAGUGAAAUCUCUUUGUAUGCUUAUCGUUAAAUGCAUAUUCGAGACGAAGAGGCCCCAAUGGUGAGUCCAAUCUGAUGCCAAACCCGUAACCGUAACCACUUCCAGGCUUCAGCCUAGCACCCGCAGGAUCACCUGAUUAUGCAUAGAUAAUCUCAGGACAAUAUGGUUCUUUAUGGUUCCAAGGAUUCAAGAGUGAAUAGUAAAUUAAACUAAGGGAAACCUACCAGGAACAGUAGGGCCUGAUCCAAGAUCCGUGCCAUAGUCAGCAAAAAUAACUCCUCCAACUGGCCCUAUCUGCAACAACAGGACAUGAUAUCAUGAUGGAUCAAGGAAUCAAUGUUUUCUUCAAGUAUAUAGAGAAGACAGUUUCCCACAAUAACAAUCAAACAUGAUAUGCCCAGCACAGAUGCUUGUAAGAACCCAAAAAAGACAAAAGAAAAGAGAGCCCAUUUUCACCACAUACCACGGGAAAAGAAAUUUCUCCAGAGCCAACUGUAUAAGAUCUACCUGAGCCCACAGCACCUUCUUCGUAACCUCUUACACUAUUUGUUCCACCGAUGGCAAAUGCUUCAUGUGGUGGGAAGUUACCAACCACAUGGCCACCAGACAAACUAGCAGUGCAAAGCAUAACAAAGUCAAAACCAAAUUAAAGCAUCAUUUGCUUAAUUUCAAAAGAUAUAAAUUACAAUAGCAAGUUGGGUCAAAUUUUGGGUGAAACUAUAAAACUCAUAAUGUUUUAUAAUAUUCGAUUGCUCCUAUUCUUGACAAAUACAAAACGGCCAUACCUUAAAAGAAAGCGAGCAGGGCCAAGUUCUAGGUCUUUCCUGGCACGAGCAUUUAUUCUGUUGAAAACCAACCAUUCAGGCAAAACAGGAAGUCCUUGUUCCAUGUUCAAUACUAGCUGCAGAGGGCCAUAAAUGAGUAUCAAAGUACAGUGGAAGUUCAGAAAGAAAAAAGAGUCAUAAUUUGUGAACACACUGUGAUUGACUAACCAUUGAAGACCCAUGGUCACCAGAACCUGUGUAGACACUCUCAAGUUUAGCAAGUAGCAUAUCGUCAUGGUUAUUGCCACUACAAAACAAAAAUGGCAAACAAAGAGCAGAAGAUUAGAAUCAUGGAUCACAGCAAAACUUUAACUAAGAUAUGGAAACUAAACUGAAGUAGUUUGGUUUUUAUUUGAUUUCAGACUCGUGUACCUUGCAGUUAGGGGACUGCUGAAGAAAUCCUUGAUAAUAGGAUUUCCUCUCUCAUCACGAGCACCAGCAUGCUGGCAAAAUAGUCAAGAAUAUGGGUAGUUAAUGUUACAAAUAAAAUACAACCAAGUCAACAUAAACCUCAUAACAAACCUUCCAAGUUCAAAACCACCACUGAAUGUUAAAACUCAUCCAAGAAACACACAAAAAAAACAAAAAACAAAAAACAAAACAAAACAGCCACAGGGGGAUAAAAGCACAAGUACCUGAAAGAUAAGCCCAGCUGUUCCACUCAACUUUGGCCUUAUGGGUCGGCUGAAUUCAAUACCAGCUGUGAUGCGACCAAUGGUCAAGUUGCUACCAUCUUGUUGGUUACCAUGGAUAAGUGUUCCAGGGGUUCUUGAAUUCUAACAGAAAAGAAUUGGUCAAACAUCUCGCCAUCAAGAAUUUUCAAGUAGUGAAUGGUAAAACAAUAGUACUUUAUACAAUACAACGUUAAAGUACCUGAACCAUUAUAGUCCUGGACGUCCGCAUAUCAUCUCCUGCAAUCCAUGGAUCUGAGUAGUUUAUACGAAAUAUUGAGUCUAUCUGGCCCCUCUCCAGAGAAACAUGGAGUUUUUGGUUUCUUCCAAAGAGAUUCCUAUGAGAAUAUGCAAAGCUGCAAAGGGAAGAAAAAAAUUUAUGUCAAAAGUGUAAUAAUGAAAUCAUAAGAAUCUAGUGCAACACUAGAUGACAUGCUGAUGGUGAACACUAACACUAUUUGAACAUAGACGCACGUAUAUUUGUAUGUAUAUGUAGAAAUACAUAAUGCUUACAGAAUCCAGAUGGUCUGUCUCUUCAUAAAAUAUUAAUAAUAGAAAGCAUUUUCAAUACAUAACUUUUUAUGUGCAGUAGAUUACCUUCCAAUGAGUCCUGAAAGAGGGCCGCUUGUAAUUCUGAAAUUAAAGAACAGAAGUUAACAUUUUAUACCACAAAAUCUAAAACAUAAACUCAUAUAUUGACCACAAAAAAAGUCAAUUUGUAUGUUCCACUCAUUUGACUUACCCACUUGAUAUACCACCACCAGCAGAAAAACCUCCACUUGGUCGCUCAACAACAUUCAUGGUGAUAUCAACCUUACCAGCAUCUACAAUUUUGCAGUAGUUAUAGCAAGCAAUGCAUUCAACCACAUGCAUGAACUCCACACAAACAUGUAUAAAUUAUUAAAGAUAAACAAAAAAAUAAUAAUCAUUGAACGCUAACAAGAUGGAAAAUAUGUUAUCCAACAAAAAUAUUUGCAAAAAAGAUUCUUUACCACCUGCUGGCUGGGGUAUAAUGCUAACAUCUUCCAUAAGUCCCAUAGUCAAUACAGUCUCCACAUCUCUUUUUCCUUGAAGCAUACUGUAGACCUACAUAGGUAUCAUCCCAAGUAGCAACCCUUAAAAGUUGACAUGUCACCACUAAAUUUAGUGCAUUUCUUUAAGGAAGAACCAUUUAAGCAUAAAUACUUGAUGGCAAAGUAAAAGCACAAUGUUCCCAAAAACCCACUAAGAUCAUUAUUAUAUAGAGAAAAUACGUCCAGGAAAGUACCUGACCCUUCUUUGUAGUAAGUUGGCGAAGUAUUGUUUCGGGCUUUGUCUUCCCUACAGUUGGUUCCCCACUAAGAAGAGCACAGAAGAAUUAGCCAAGAAAUCAUUUCAUAGCCACUUUUUCAAGAAAAUUUGAACAUUAUCCAUGCAUGCAACAUCUGUAAAUGCGAACUCGAUUAAACCAGGAACUUACGUCUUCCUGUCAAGGAACCGUAUGGAGAUAUUAUUGACCUCCGCUUCUGAUACUUGUAACUUAAGAACACCUCCCGAGAGACUCUCAACAGCUGAAACCUAUAAUGUAAUCAAGAAAAGAGCUGUCUACUAUUAAGAAAAAUCUUGAUAAAAAAUAAAGCACAGUGAAGUCUUCACUGAACCAAUUCUACAUUCUACAGCACUAGAAAUAUUAACUUCAUCUUUGUACAUGCCGAAAUUCAAAAUAAUUAUGAAAAACUUAUAGAGAAGAAACCAACCAUUGCAAAAAGGCCCCGAUCCAUGUACCAAUCAUUGAUGGAAGAUAUAACUUCAUUCAAACGCUUAAGAUUAAUAACUUUUCCUGCACAACUUGACACCAAAAUCGAAAAUCAAUAUAGGACUCUUUGAUCACACUUAAGUGGCACACCAGAAAAAAGCAAAUGAUCUUUCGUGCAAAGAGCAUGCACGAACAACCCUAAAUAUGUAAGAACGUUGAAGAAAAACCUACCAUAUCCGUCACAGAAUGCAUCCUUUAUAAACUUCGCUGGAAGAACAUUUGCCCCUUCACAUACUAGCCCUUGGAAUUCCUGGUUUGGUUUUACCUAGCACCAUUAAAAGAUUAUUAAACUAUUAGUCACAGUUCCAAGCCAAAUCAAAUAGGAAACAUGUUCUCAUACAUGAUCAUGACAUGAGUUUGCAUCACCUAUGAAACCAUAACACAAAACCAUGAUUGCUCGCUCUCUAUUUCAAAUUUAUUUAUUUUUAGGGCAAAUCUCUCUAUCUAAUGCAAAGACAAUGAUCUAAAGAAGAGUUAAAAAUGAUCAUGGGUCAAAAAUCAAAACAAUAAAUGCAUAAAAGUGAUGAACUCAACACACCGAUAAACAAGCACCUUGAUAAUUAGCAUGAGGUCAUAAGGACUUAACUGAAAUUGAAAAUGACAAAUGAAUACAAAAAUAAUACAAAUAAUAAACACUAAAUGCUUUUGGUUCACGACAAGCAUUAGUUUCAAUUUCUUUAAGCUCUUCUCCUACAUUUAUUAGGAUUAUAAACAGAAAAAGGCACAGAACGCAAUUGAAUUCGACAACAAUGCAUAUGCUUGUACCUGAAAGAUCAAUCGGAUACCGUCUCUCGUAUCUACAGCGACUGGCAUGCAAGAGCAGAAGUAUCCACUAUCGAAGAUUCUCUGCACAUCCUCUUGGACCUCGCUCACAGUGAGCGCCGAGUUGGGACGGCAAGCCUUGAGAGCCGCCAAGGCCUCCGCUUCUAGGUCCUUCCUCUCCAGCUCUUCACCGUCCUUGUUCCUCACCAGUACCUCGCUUAUCAAAACCCUCUCCUCGUCGUGCCGACUCGAUGAGUGGCCCUUCUGCUGCGACUGAGUCGACUCGUCCGGCCGAGUCAAAGAUAACGACGCUGAACAUAAAAGCGGUGACUUCCCUACAAACUGACUGUGGUCUGCAUUUCGAUUUCGUGAUUCGGACUCUGCCGAAUCAGCGGACCGAGUCAGGGACAACGACGCGGAGCAAAGAAUAGGCAGAGAGUGCGAGCGACCGUUUUGAGUUACUGCAAUGCACUGAUUCAACUCGGUGGACAGAAAGGGGGGCCAUUUUAAUGGUGGAAAUUGUGCGAAAGCUGAACGAGUCUUGAGCGAAUCGAUGAGUUGAGCAAACGAGUUUCUGGUUCUAGCGAACAGAAAGGGAAGGUCCAAUUGCCGAUUUUGCGGGGGCCGAGGGACUUUGACAGAAGGCGACGAAGUGAACCGAACCUCGUCAUUCGGCGGCAUUGUAUUUGGUCUGAGAAAUGAGAACGGAGAGAGUUGUUUGGGUGCCGAGAUACUUGUGUGGAAAUAGGAGGGCAGGGUUUUAGGGAUGCAAUUGAAGAAAGGAAAAACCCUAGAGCUUAGCUUGGACCACACUGAAAACAGGGAGGGGUUGGGUGAAGAAGACGGAGUGAAAAAGAAUCGAGGAAGACGGAGAAUCUGGAGGACUCGUAUCGUUAACUUAUUGGUUUCGGAUCGGGGGUGGUUCGUGGGCUUGGGCCGGGUUGUUGUUGUCGGCCUUAGUAUUUAACCCAUAUUUCAUACCUACUUAUUUAUUUGGUAAUUUUUGUGUAUGCACAACCAAAAUAUUUAUCUCUAAACGCUCAAUUUCUAAGAACACUCCUAAUUAAAUGAUACAAAAUUAUAAAAUUUUCUUUUUUUUGGAAGGUAGUAAGGUUUCAUUCAAUUGUCAAAGGUUACAGACUCGAGCGAACAUACGUGGCCUUAUCAAAAUCUUGCCUCAGAAAACCCAGUAGAAAAAAUCUAAGACGAAAGAAAAAGAGUGUCACACACUCCAUAAAGGCUACGAACUAAACUCAAAACAAAACCAAAAUAACGUCAACUAGCAUAGACACAUUGUCCUUGGAGGACCCUCUUUAAGCCAAGCGUCUGAAGACACACUACCUAGAGCAAACUUAGCAUGGCUACAAUAAGACACAAACUGGGAACAAAGACAAUAAGAAAAUUCAACUUGAUCAUAUGCCAUACUGACAUCAAGCAUCACCACAACCUUUGGCUCCUUUUUUCGUCAUCAUUUGUUGACUGAAUGCAUGGGCUCAAAAGCAAGAGAUUAUCAGGAAUAGACCGGACAGGAAAAAAGGCAUUUUGAACACUAGAAAUCAUCUCAAGCAAAAUGAUCAUCAAGAGGUUAACUAGAAUCUUUGCACAAAAAUGGGGUCUUGAGCUCUAAGGAAUUGUCUUAGAGCUUGGAAUAUGUAGGGGUUCCCAAGCCCCAAUACAUUCCAUUUCAUUUGUCUCGUUGAAAUUGACGGGGUAGCCCUACUAACCCCGUCUCUAUAUCAUUCUCCAAUUGAACAGUGUUCAGCUCCGAUUGAUGCGGGUUCUCAUCACCCUUUUGGGCCUUAGAUACCAAUUAGGUUGCUCAAGCCUUAGCCUUCCACGAUAGAGUUGAUGCCCACUUUGAUUUGCGUUAACCAUUUGAGUUGCCCCACUAACUUGCUUCUCUUGCAGACCCGCUUUUUGAAGAGAGAAUGGGUUAAGGCCCAUAAUAUUAGAAUUAUGACAGCUUUUAACUUCAAUUAUAUUCUUUCAUUUCUCAACACUAGCCUCUUCGCACCCGCUUCUGCGCUUGCGAGAGGUUUGUUUGUUUUUUUAAUUAAAAUUUAUUUUAGAAUUAAAAAAGAUAAUGGGUAGUUGUGUUCCAUAAAAAUAGGAUCCAUUAUCUUAUUUUUCUUUUAAUUUUAAUUUUUUUAAUAUGAAAAAGUGUGAAUUUACCAUAUUAUCCUCAUUUAAUUAAUAAUUUCAAUUCUUAAUGUUUGCAUUAACUAAGGGCAUUUUUUGGUAUUUUGAAUGUUUCACCAUUCUCUGUCUUUUGCUUUAUAUAGAGAGAUUCAUUGGCGAGUUAAUUGCCAAUGAAUCAAUCCCCAAGAACUGCUCUUGAUUUAAAUUUCCUUGAAUGGCCUCAUUGCCUAAUUUAUGCCUCUUGUGAUGGUAAGCCAUAAUGUAGUCAUUAUUCUCAUUAAUGGUGCCCUACAGUAACUGAUCCCCUUCAUCUUCAUCCUUUUCUCGGUGACGAACUUCGCCGGCAAGGCCCAGUUCUUCGGAGCUUGGGGCUUUCAUCAACCAUCUCAACCGUAGUGAUCUUGGUGGUUCCAUCUCAUGUUCAUCUAACCAUUCUUUGACCUCUGCUUUGAGCCAUGAACCAAAGGGUUUGAAAUCCCCAUGGUUAACAACAGAAUCCCGAAGUGAGCACUGAUUCAAGACAUGAUCACAAAGGCCACAUAGAUAACAACAGUUUGGAAGCUUUUCGUAUUUAAUCAAAAAGAGGCGACUCCCAACCUUUGAGAAGGUAAAACGUAGACAUCAUUUCAGGGGUUGAGUAACAUCAAUAAUAACCUUUAUUAUGAGAAAACUUCCCAGGCAAGUACCUCAUUUUCCAGAAUCAAUCUCAAUAAACCUCCCCAGAAUAUCCCCAAUGAGUUGCCCAGUACUACUCUCCAUAUAUGCCAGAGGGACACCCUUCACUCUAAUCCACAAAGGUUGUGUAGUGAGAGGAUGACAGGACCCGAAUCAAAUUCCGCUUUGGAAUUCGAGUCAAACCCUGUGCGUGUCCGACACUUGGCAAAUGUCGAGCACGAAAGACCUAUUUGCCCUUUUUCUUAAAAUUUUGACUUUGACUUCUACCGAAAUUUCGGCAAAGUCUCCCCUAAAUUUCGUUCAAUCCAAAACUUAAACCUGUCAUAACGAGCAUAAUCGUCCAAACGACCAACAGCCAGCACUUCAAUAAACAUGCCAAAAGUUCCAUUCUCACUCUAGGGCAAUAUAUCAGAGCAAUUUUGAUAGCUUACGGAUCACUUAAUUGGUUUGCAUACCAACAUUUUUGAACCAGAAGGCGCGGAAGUCACGAUGGCCCGGUGGUGGGUGUCUUGUGCACACUACAGCCUGGGGGCGCAAAACAGUUGAAAGUGUGAGUGGACCAAAAAUAAAGGUUCAUAAAAUAUCUGAGAAUAUACUAACCCCUGGUGUAAAAAUAAAGAAAUAAAUCCAAACACGUAUUCUGCAUUUAAAGCAUACUAAACUCAAGGCAUUAUAUGUAAAUCAUAUUCGAACUCGAUACUUCUCGCAUAAAAACAAUGAAAUCAAAUACAGUUGAGUAAAACUAAAUAUCUAAACUAUCUUGGAAACAUAUGAAAGUCAACGCAGUUACAUAUUUAUAGAAAUAUAUGCAAUCGCUUUCAAGGGCAAUAAAACUUGCAUGAAAGCAUUGAAAUCCAAUUUGCAUAAAAGUGCUGAAAUCUAACCUGCAAUAAAGCAAUGUACUCAAAACUUGAAUUAAAGCACUGCAAUUAAUCAAAACUACCACUCGGAUGUACCCCUGUAAUUCCGUCAAUUCCCCUGGCAGGUCUCGACGACACACAGUCUAUCCGAGCCACAAAUCCUGGCAGGAUACAGGGGACUAUAGUCAGCCUGAUCCGCUGGCAGGUCUCGGUGACACAAAGUCAACUCGAGCCGCUCUAGCAGGAUUCAGGGGACCGUAGUCAGCCUGAUCCGCAAUCCUGGCAGGUCUCGGGGACACGAAGUCAGCAGAGCCGUAAAUCUUGGCAGGUCUCGGGACACCAAGUCUGCCGAGCAGCAAAUCCUGGCAGGUCUCGGGACACCAAGUCUGCCGAGCCGCAAAUCCUGGCACUCAUGAUCCGAGCGUCCUCGAAACUCGUGAGGCAAUGUCAAGUGCACUGACAGAACUGUAAAUAGACUGGAUGUCCGUAGACAUCGGUCCAUCUGAGGGUAAUCACCAUAACUGGGUACACACGGUGGUUAAAAAUAAAUAUUUUAGAAAAAUCUGAUAAAUCACUGUAUUUGGCAAGUCUGAAACUAAGCUGCUAUUUCCUCUGAUAUAAAUCUCAACUCUGCUUUCUGUCACUUUCUACCAUGUUCAACUAAGCAGCAUAGAAAUAAAGAUAUUUGACGGCACAAAUCAUGCUCGGAAAACAUUCGGUAAAACUUAUUCAAAAUCAAAUAAUGAAAUUUACUCAUAUAAACUCCUUUAUAAAAACUUAUUUAUAUAAAAUCAAUAUAAAAUCAUUUAUGUAAACUCAUUUAUAUAAAGCAUUUAUAUAACUCAUUUAUAUAAAAUCAUUUAUGAAAGAAAGUCCACUCACUCCUGGUCCGAGCUCGCUAGACCUUCUGACGGUCUCUCUUGCGGGCCUGUCUGGUCGCGGGUGCCUGGGUCGACAGAAAUGGUGGCAGGAUGAGGGAGAUCGGCGACCUUAAAGUUUCUGUGAGUUCCCGUCGCUUUUCUGUAAUUUUCGGCCAGCACAGGCCGUGCAGCCGGCGGGGAAGGGUCGGAAAAGAUAGGGGACUCGACGGCGGUUCCAUUGCCACCGGUCCCGUGGCAUGUGGUGCCUUGAGGCGGCGCCAGCAAGCUCUGGAAGGCGGCGGGCAGUUUUUUGCGCGAAAGGAGAGAGCUGACUGGUUUUUUAUAGAUUCAACUUCGAAAUAUUUACGGUUAUGCCACUGAGACUCUUUUGACCAUAACUUUCUCGUUACAACUCCGAUUCGGGCCCACUACGUGUCUAUGAACUCGUUUCACCAUGCUCUACGCAAUGGCCAAGCGGAAUUGUCAAAUUCCUUCUCGAUCAAAAAGUCACCUUUUUCUUAAUAAAAUAUUAUGAAGGCAAAAUUGUCUUUUCGCAAAAUAAAAUAUUCCUUAAUUAUGAAUUUUUGGUUUGGAAUAUUACAGAGGAACUUGAUGGGGGUCUUCAAAACCAUCAAUUUCUCCCAAGAUCAUAAGAGCGUUCUCAAAAUUCCAAGGACUACCUUUGAGCGCACAAUUUCUAUCACUUUCUGACAAAAAGGAGAACAAAAACCUCCCGUGCUCCAACUGGCAGAUCUCUACACAUGCUCUUGGUGACCAAAGCUUCUUCAUGGUCCUCAUAAAGAAAUGUACCUUAAAAUCCUUCGGGAUGAGAAGCCUCCCAACUAAAAAGAGACAUUGAGCUUGCCUAUUGUUUCCAAUAGGUCGCUCAAAUACUAUAGACCUGUUUUCAUCCUCAGUGAGAUUGAGUUGCGUGGUAAGUUUGUCCACAAACGCAUCCGUGGCAGCAAAGUGACAAUCAAGAAUCUUACCUAGCCAAGAGAAUAAAGCCUUCCACAGUGACAUGCACUCAACUACACUACCAGAAGAGUAAUCUUGGACUCUUUAUCACACUCUAGAAACUCUCACGACUCUAGGCGAGAAGGAGAGACUGGAUUGGAUGCUCACAUAUAUUAAUUAUAAAAUUUUCUUUGAGAACCUAAAAAUGUUUAUGAUGCUUCUUUCAUAAUGAUUUAGAGGAGCACGACCGCAUAUUGUAUGUUCCUUUCACUUACUCUUUAAAGUUUUGGCCCACAAACAUUUUCUCCAUCGUUUGAGAUGGAGUAAAAUGUUUGUAUCUUCUAUUUAUUAGUCUCUCUGCACGAGCUUCCGCGCAUGCGAGAGACUUUUUUUUUUUUAAAUUUAAAUUUAUUUUAGAAUUAAAAAAUAUAAUAGGUAGUUGUGUUCCAUAAAAAUAGGAUUCAUUAUUUUAAUUUUCUUUUAAUUUUAAUUUUUUAAAUAAGAAAAAGUGUGAAUUUACCAUAUUAUCCUCAUUUAAUUAAUAAUUUCAAUUCUUAAUGUUUGAAUUAACAAAGGGCAUUUUCUGGUAUUUUGAAUGUUUCACUAUUCUCUGCCUUUUGCUUUAUAUAUAUAGAUAUAUAUAGAUUUAUACAUUCUUUGCUAUCAAUAAUAUACACAAUAUACUUCCUAAAAAAAAAUUAAUAUACACAAUAUACAGAAUUUUACAAGAUAAUGCUUUUAAGUUACAACACAUUAUUUCUUUCUUUUUUUAGGUUAAAAAAAUACAGAUAGUAAGCAUUUUGAUGUAACAAAGUGUAAUUAAUUUAAAAUUUUAAUUAGAACAAAGCUUACAGCAUGAACAAGCAUCUCUCUCUGCACCCACCAUUGUUAUUAAAUGAUUGUAUCCUCCGAUAAUACUAUAUGGGGUCGUUUGGUACGUCGGACUGUCAUAGACUGGACUAAAUCCUGGGACUGUCUUGGAUUAGCUCGGAUUGGCCUAAGCUGGAUUAAGUACUGACCUACGUUUGGUAAUACGUCGGACUAAGAAGUUGAAUUGUAAAAAUAGUGAAGACCUAUGUUUGGUGCAUCGGACUAAAAAAUAAUUCUUGUAAUAUUUAAAUUUAAUUAAGAAUUUUGACUUAAAAUAAAUAAAUGUUGCAAAGAAACCCAAUUCAAAGAUUUAAAACAAUAAUAAAUAAAUAAAUAUUCUUAUAUUUUUUUAAAGAAGCUGAUUUUUAAUAUUCUUAAAGAUAAUAUUUUUAACCCAAAACAAAUAUCCCAAACCCCACCCACCCCUUCCGUCCUCUCUUCCUCUCUCCAUCCAUCCUCCUCCCUUCUCUCCUCUUUAUUCGACAACCAAGCCCCCCUCCCCUCCUCCUUCUCUCUUCUUAUUUUUCUCUCUUUCCCCUCUCUUUCUUCAACCAAAUCCAUAUCAGGUUUUUUUUUUUAAAAUCCAUAUCAGGUUGGGGGCAGUGCAGUGGACGACGAUGGGUCGGAGGAGAUGGGUUUCCAGAGUUGGAUCGGAAGAAAUUCUAAAAAUACGUUUUUUUUCUUUUAUUGUUGGGUCCAAUCAGAUCUUGGAGUUUUAGUUUUUUCAAUCAAGAAAAUAUACUUCUUGGAGCUUCAAUUUUGUUGAGGUAGGGAAGUUGCGGAAGAGAAAGUGAUGAAUGGCGUCAGGGAAGAGAAGCCAGACCAGUGUUGGACUCGCCUGUUCAGUUUAGCGACAGUACUAUUUUGUGAACCACAUUUUAGGCUCAUUAUAUUAGAGGAGCUAGUGAGCCAUUUUUGUCACUGUUGGACUGCAUAGUCUCAUUUAAGUUAGUCCUCUCUCUUGCCAAACAUGAGUUUUAAGUGCUAUUUUGUCCAGUCCAGGUUAGUGAGGCCUACCAAACAUCUAUGAAUUAGACAAAAACUAAUGUGGUUUUGUGUAUGUUUUUAAUGUGGUAACGGCUACAUGACGUGUGUUGUCCCAUUUGAGCUUGGUGGAUACGGAAUUUUGGAUCUUUGACUCGAUGAUCACAUGGCAUUAUUGAAAUCUCCAGCCUUCUCUUGUCAGCACUGAAAUCUCCAAAACCAAAUCUUACUACUCUAAUAAUAAUACACAACUAUCCAAAUUACAAAACUGGAAAAAAAAAACAAAAAACAAAAAACAAAAAACAAAAAAUAGCAAGGCUUUCUUGUUAAAUAUAUGACAUGUUAAGAAUCUAAUACCAUACAGUACUUCAUCACUUGGUAGUAUAACAACGUAAUAUAUCAUAUCUUUUGACUUAAAUAAGUUCUCUUGCAAAUCGAUCAAUGCCAAGUAAUUUAUGUCGUAUUAAGAAUGAACAAAUGUUGAUCGAAUAGGACUCACUAAAAACCUAACACUACUCAUCAAUGGUUGAAAAUUAUUCCCGUCAAACCCAAAUGAACUAUGAUAAAGUUGGACAAAUGUUCCCAAACUGCUUCCGGUUAAUAAAAUUUACUUCUUUUCGAUAAGGAAUAUGAAAUUCCAAGAGCCUCUAAUACGAUGUCGUUUUCAGGACUUCCCCACUACCAAAAGUCCCACAUAACCGUUGCAAAGCCCUCUCAGUCUACUAUUCCUUUCAAACCGACCCACGCGCCCAUUCCCCAACCGUUUAAAACCCACUCUCUCUCUCUCUCUCUCUCUCUCUCUCUGAACCUCCAAGAACUCCACAUGUUCUCCCUCACAAACUUCAAGCUCUCUGCUUUUGCAAAGAAAAAGAAAAGCCCACUUCUUUUCACUCAACACCAAUCGAAUUCUCCACAGCCAUGGCUCCAAGAAAGCUUCUUGUUUUCUGGGUCGUCUUCAUGAGCCUCUUCUUCUUCUUCACAGACCCGCCUUUUGCCUCCGCAGAAAACGUGAACUUUGAUUUCCCCUCUUUCAAUUUCCGAAACCUCACCUUCCUCGGGGAUUCCCACAUCCGAAACGGCGUGGUAGGCCUCACUCGUGAGCUCACCGUGCCGUCCUCAAGCGCCGGAACUGUAAUCUACAACAACCCAAUUAAGUUCUUCGACCCUGAAGCCAAUAUCACAGCUUCCUUCUCUACAAGGUUUUCUUUCUCCAUCACCAAUGUCAAUCCGAGCUCGUAUGGAGACGGCAUGUCGUUUUUCUUCUCACCUAGUAACAGGAUACUUGGCAGCCCAGGAGGUUAUCUGGGUCUUGUUAAUUCCUCCCAAUUAACCAAGAACAAGUUCGUGGCCAUUGAGUUUGAUACCAGGCUCGAUUUGCAUUUCAACGACCCCAACGAUAACCAUGUUGGUUUGGACAUUGAGAGCCUCACUUCAAUAAAGACCGCAGAUCCAAUCUUGCAAGAUGUUGAAUUCAAAAGUGGGAAUUCUAUUACAGCUUGGAUUGAUUACAAGAAUGACCAAGAAAGGCUCAAAGUGUAUUUGAGUUAUUCGGGUUUCAAGCCCGGAAAACCGGCUUUGAGUGUGGAUAUUGACCUCUCUGAGUAUCUAAAGGAGGCUAUGUAUGUGGGUUUUUCGGCUUCUACUGAGGGGAGUACUGAGGUUCAUCUGAUUGAGAAUUGGAGCUUUCAUACAUUUGGGUUUGUUCCUACAAGACCAAGAUUGCAGCCUCACAAUGUGUCUGAUACUUAUGUGGUGGUGAGUCCGAGGAUUCCGGUAUCUGAUUCCACCAAUAAACACCACAAGAGGCUUGGUUUAGGCCUUGGGAUUGCCGGGCCGGCCUUCUUUUGUGUCGCUCUGGCGGUGUUUGGUUAUGUUUCUGUGAGCAAAUGGAUGAACAUGAGAAGACAGAAAAGCUUCAAAGCAGAGGUUAUAGCAGGGCCAAGAGAGUUUGGUUACAAAGAGCUCAAGUCAGCCACAGGAGGGUUUCAUUCUAGUAGGAUUAUUGGUCAUGGAGCAUUUGGAACUGUGUACAAAGCCUUUUUUGUCUCUUCGGGGACUAUUUCUGCAGUGAAAAGAUCCAAGCAUUCCCAUGAAGGUAAAACUGAGUUCCUUUCUGAGUUGUCUAUUAUUGCUGGUUUGAGGCAUAAGAAUUUGGUUCAACUCCAAGGUUGGUGUGUUGAGAAGGGUGAAUUGCUUCUUGUUUAUGAUUUCAUGCCUAAUGGGAGCCUUGAAAAGGUGCUUUACCAAGAAUCUGGACAAGGUACCUUAUUGGAUUGGUACCAUAGACUAAAUGUUGCAGUUGGUUUGGCAUCUGUUUUAACAUAUCUGCAUCAAGAAUGUGAACAGCAAGUCAUUCACAGAGACAUAAAGACUGGAAAUGUAUUGCUCGAUGGGAAUUUUAAUGCGAGGCUUGGUGAUUUCGGAUUGGCAAAGCUCAUGGAUCAUGAUAAGAGCCCUGUUUCUACACUAACGGCUGGAACAAUGGGAUACCUUGCGCCUGAGUAUCUUCAGUAUGGGAAGGCAACUGAGAAGACUGAUGUUUUUAGCUAUGGUGUGGUCAUCCUUGAAGUGGCUUGUGGGAGGAGACCAAUAGAGAGAGAACCAGGCAGUCUCAAAAUGGUGAAUUUGGUGGAUUGGGUUUGGGGACUGCACUCGGAAGGAAGGAUUAUCGAAGCAGCUGACAAGAGGUUGAAUGGGGAGUUUGAAGUGGAAGAAAUGAGGAAGCUGUUACUUGUGGGUUUAAGUUGUGCUAAUCCAGAUAGUGCAGAGAGGCCCACAAUGAGGAGAGUUUUACAAAUCCUGAGUAAUGAGGCAGAACUUCUAGGCGUGCCAAGGGUGAAACCAAGUCUCAGUUUUUCUAGUGGAUUGCCUUUGUCUAUUGAUGACAUUGUUUCAGAUUGUGAAGAAUGCAGCAGCCCCACCAGCUCUAUGUGUGAGAUCAUUAUUAACUGAAAUAGGUUUCAUGGUUUAUUAGGCAAUAUAUGCAGAUUGCAGAGUUUAUAGAUAGAUGAAUUCUUUUGUUCUUUACUUUUUACCACUGCUUUUUUAAUCCUGUAAUUUGAAGAUUAGAGACUAUAGAGUUCACUGGCCUGAGUUCAAAGCAAUCUAUUGAACUGUGUGGUCUCUGCUUUAUCAGGACAAAAGAAGCUUGCUUGAAUAUUUCAAUUGUAAUGACUCGUUCAAGUAACAUCUCUUGUAAUCAAUUUUCUUUGUAGUGACAAUAAAAGAUAUGUAACUGGCUUAAGAGUUGAAUGUAGACAGAAAUGAUUUCUAUACUAUUCAAUCUUAUUAGUUUUAUGAUUUUCUGUUUUUUUCGGUAGAGUGUUCUGUAACUUGCUUAUAGCUCUGGGGGUACAUCUCUUCACUUUGGUUUGACACUGGCAUUAGUUGCAAGAAUUAUUUGGAUAAGACUGCCUGAGAAACCCUGAAAAUCUUUGGAUUAAAUUGCUUUCUUCCCCUCAUUUUAGGUAGAACUUUCGGAUAAUGGCCUAAGAAUCUGUGUAAAGCGGCUUUCACUGAAUUCUCAUAAUUAGCCUUUUCUGUGAUCUCCCUCUCCGAUCUUUCCUUGCAAAACGUUACAGGCUUUUCAUGUUCCCUGCACAUAGAGGAUAAGCCAGGAGUAUGGCACUUUUAAGUCCCUCACAAUCCAGCAGAUAAUUCUUGUAUCAUUCUUCUACACACUGUAGGUCAUGAAAACCAAAAAGAAAAUAUGUGCCGAUUUCAAGGCGGUUACAGUUUACAACAUAAACCAAGGUUUUCUGUGGAACAUUUCAAUGUUGGUGCACAAAAUGGAUGACAAUAUCUGUACUACGUACUAGUAGAAACGAAAAGAUUAUUAGCAAAAUGCAAAGCCAAUUGAUGGACUGUGCUUCACUAUGAAAAUAAUGUAAACUGACCUUAUUUGAGCAAGAGCUGAAAAAUAAUUCAAAAAAUUUAAAAGUGUUAUGGAACUAAAAUAACCAGAGUAUGAGAAGUACUACUGUAAUAUUAGUGAGUGGAAUUAUAUUUCUCUUUGUGGUGUUUACACUGACAGAAUUUCUCCUCAGAUAGACUUCACUCUUUCUCUUCUCUCUGACUCUCACUCUAUUCUCUUCUCUCUUUCGUGUAUGUUUACAAGCAAAUAUAAUGUCUAUUUAUAAGCAAAGCAAAUGGCUUUUAAGAGAGACAUAAUGAUUUCUCCCCAACAUCAUAAUUCCAUCUUUUAACUAAUACUAUCUAGCUUUAUCUAUGUGGGCUUCACUUCUUUAUAACAAAAAGAAAUGGCUUUCUUUCUUUGAUUCCUUUUUCUACACAUGCACAGUGAGAAGGGAUAAAUACUUUUUGAAGUACUUUGGAAAUAUUUUACAAAAAAUGGUUCAACACCAAAGAGCAAAAUGACAUGCCCUUUAUUAUUAUUAUUUUUAUUUUUUAUAAAUUUAAAUAAUUAUUUUUUUAUAAAAAGAGAAUUCAUUCAUAGAACCAAAGAUGUACAAAGAGCGACAUGAUACAAUGGCCUUGUUAAAACCUUCCUAAGACAACCUCAUGGGACAAACCCCAUGGGAGGAAAGAGUAUCACACAUGUCAUGGACUAACAAGAGAGUACAAUUUAGGUCACUUUGAAUCAUUACAAUAAAAGAACAAAUCAAAAACGAAAACUAACACAAAACGCAACUAGAGACCAACACAGUAGACCCAUAUGAGAGGACCAAGAAACCCCAUAUAGUAAACUCGCAGGAGAGGACCUCAAAAUAUCCCAAUUGUCAAAAGAAGCCUUCUAUGAGCAAAAUCAUAGUCCUUUGACACCCACACAAACUGCAAGGGAUACCAUAACAGAAACUAGAAGAGAACACGAAGGAGGAACACCAAAACAACAUUAAAAUGAUCCUUGAGAACCUCUCCACUUUAACUUAAAACCUGACGAAGAAAACAUCAUAUGGCCAAGCAUAGUUCUUCGGUCGGCUCAAAGUAGAGAAGAGCACCAGAUCCCAACAACUAUCACCAGCGUCGCUACUGCCGCCGCCAUUGAAAUAGAGACAAAACAUCAGCCACCAAGUAUCACAACUCUCCCGAGAAGAGACACAAUCCAGCAUCACUAUUAUCACCGCAACGGGAACAAAGACAAUACCAGUCACCUAGAACACUGCAAAAACAAUCAAACAAAACAAACAGACCUAGAUCCAAACAGAUCUAGACUAUCUGAGGAGGGGAAUGGGAGGAGAAGAGGGGAAAAAAGAUGGGAGAAAAAGAAAGGAAGAUGAAGAGAGGAAGGGGAAGAUGGGCAGAGGGGAGGAGGGGCACUGGCCACCUCCCCCCUUAGCUUCCUUGCAGUCGGUUAUUGACAAAGAGAAAGUGGACCAGAGUGCUGCUAGGGUUUUUUUUUCCUCUCUCUCUCUUAUUCUGCGGUAAAAUGACAUGUACAGUUGUAGGGUGCAAUUUUCUACUUGACAGAAAGUAAAUAAGAGAUCACCAACAUCUGCUCAUGCAUCUUGAAAAGUAUUAAUUUCUACAAAAUUGACACAUCCUUGCUUCAAUUGGUGACAACUGCUACCUCUUUCUUCUGUUUACCUUUAAAGGAAAACUUAUACAGAAUCAUCUGCAUAGAAUUAUUUUUACAGAUCCACAAGAAGAAAGAAAGUUUUAGUUUGCAUUCAAAUUAACACAUAUCAUGUUGAUGAGAAGACCUUACAUAUGUGUUAGAUAGAUGCAGAUCAGACGGUGCUGGUAACAUCACAGAUGUGGGAAUGCAAGAGAUGAUGACAGAAGAAGAGAGAGCACACUCCCAACAGUGGCGAAGAUCUCUUUGGCCAAUGGCGGGUUGUGCUCUCUUUCUUCUGUCAACAUGAUCUCUCAGCUCAUUCACAUUCACAUCCAUCCACCCUCAAUGCCACAAGGCAUGCAUUCAUCCCUGCCAGUGGAAAAACCAUGAAUUUGGAUAAUGCAUACAAAAAUCAAUCAUAAAAACUUGCCUUUUGACCCUAAAAGUAUUACAUAUAUGAUCUUGAUGUUUUUUUUAUCAACAUAUCACUCACCAAUAUGAAAGUUUUAUCAAAACAGAGUUGCAUAUGUAUAUAUAUACAGAUGAAAAACAAGAAAAGUUAAGAGAAGGCUCAAAGAAAACCACCACUUUCUUUCUUUCUUCUCCUUUCCAUGACAAAUUAAGAGGAAGUAAAACCACCAAAAAAUAACUGUUGAGAAACAAGGACUAAUGAAGCAGAACAAAUACGUAUAAGCUAAAAACUCAUCUGUAAAGACUACUUUGAGUAUCUGUGAGAGUGAGAGAUACGUAUAAGCUAAAAACUCUACCACAAUGGAACAGUUACUGAUGGAUACCUCCUCUUACAGUGACCUUUACCUCCUCUUAUAGGGACCUUUUGCCACUUGCUGUAACCGGUGACUAGUGAACUUUGACCGACUAGUGAGGUUAAAAUGGUCCUUUGAACACAUUUAUUUCUUUCUACACAGUUGGAUUAAAACCCUUCACUAUCACAGAUUCACAGACUCACAGUUAUUAUUAAUGUGACCAAGAAUUAUUCAAAAUCUGUAUUUAAUUAAGCAGCAGAAAAUGACGUGUAUUUAAUUAAGAACCGUGUAAGCAAAGCAACCUCUGUAAACCAAAAAUGGUGAGGAGGAUGUUGACCGGCUAUUCAGGUCAGGUGGAUCCAAUUUGAUUCUCUCACCUUACCAAUACGAUGCAAUAAUCACGCGUGAUGCAAGAGAGGGGUAUUUUUUGUGUGGACGAAAUGCAAGAGAGGGGCAUGGUUUUCGUGGCUGUGGAGAAUACCUUGACCGUUGAAUGGUGACACGUGGAGGACAUGCAGGGUGGUUAGGUUUGUGAUUUGGUAUAUGGCUAGUGGCUUGGCUUGAUGACUGUGAUGAAAAAAAUUCUGCAUUCAUGUUCGAGUUAUUAUCAUUUCAUUUUCUUUGAAUUUACAGUUACUUGUUUGUUUGAACAUGAUAAAUAAACAAAAAAUAAAGAAAUUAAGGGGUGAAUCCAAUUCAAAUUUUUAAUGAUUUUUAUAGAGUUUAAAAGUUUCGAGGUAUUCAAUUUAGACUUUUAAAGAGUAUAUAAAAGUUUAGUGGUAUUCAAUUGUGAUUUUUAAAAAGUAUUUAAAAAUUUGGUGGUAUCCAAAAAGUUAAUGACUUUUAAAAAACUUACUAAAUAAAUGACUUUUCCAUACCUAAUUGUUAAGAGCAAAAGUCUUGCCAGCUUUAUGAAAGUAUUUAAGAAUUUGUCAACUCUAUAAAAGUCACCCAUUUAAAAAAAGUCUUUAUAAGUAUGAAUUGGAUACACCCCUAAAAGCAUCGUAAAAUUGCUUUGUAAUUUCUUUUAAGGGUUAAAAACGUUGAACGUUAAACCAACCUUGUGUACAGCUUCUGAUAAUAAACCCUAAAGAAGCUUUUAUACAAAGGCUUCUAGCCACGCUGAGAUACAAAAAUAAGUUAACAGCAAUAAAAAUCAAAUCACUCAUACAUAUAAUUUACUUGGCUUUUUUUUUUUUUUUUUUUAUAAAGGCAUUUUAGUACAUAUAAUUACAUUUGUUUUCUUCCUAAUGUCACAUUCCUAACAGUAUACAAAAAUCUCAAUAGGUAGAAUUUGUAUAAAUUAGUUUUGAGUAAUUGAGUCAGCAAAACACAAAAGCAGUAUUCACUUCAUUUUUUUCACCAAAGCUCUCACGUUCUAGGCUCUCCAUUGCUGCUUUAGAUUCAAUCAAUUUAUUUUUCCAUUUAGUACCAACUGCAUCUGCCUGAUCCGCAAACAAGAUCUUUGAGCUGGGUGAACUGCAAAUGUCUUUGUAAGUUUCGUAAUUAGCAGCUUGGGUAUUUCCACCUUCUAAAAGUCCAGCAAGAGGAUGCAAAACUGAGACCGGACCAUCACUUCUCUCUAAAGUUUCCUUCAAAAUAAGAAAUUCAGAGACAAAUUUUUCCUUGUUAAACUGAACGAAUACUGCAGUUUCAUCCAAGUGGUAGAUAGAAGUGACAGAUGUCGGGCCAAAGACUUUUGAGAUGCAUUCUCGUAUGUCCCGUGCCUUAAGUUUUGAUGGGAAUCCCCAGAUUAAAGCAAUGUUCUCAAACAAAAUCUCUGGGUACCUCUUUUUGUGGUUCGUAUACCCCAAGGAUACUGCAUUCUUCUUACCACUGGUUAAAUCAAUAAUGUCUCUAUUACUCCAACUAAGGUAUAGAAGGUUGAUGUGCUUCUGCAGCUUCUCAUUGUGGGCCAAAUGUUCAGAUGGCAAAAACGACUGAAAAUCAAUCCCUAGAUGACUGCAUGUCUGAGCAAACACACAGCCUGUCAUAAAAGCAUCAUAUCCCGCUUCAUGUUUGGCUCCAGAAUUCCAGUUGGAGGACCUGCAAAUAGAUAAUUUUGAUAAGACUGACUUAUUUCUAAGGUGCCUCCUCUGCUUUUCCUUUUCUUUGUAUAUUAAACAGGCAGGAGUAUUCAUUAUUUUGAUUAUCUUUCUCAAUAUUUACUAGUUAUGCUAUGAGAGAGAUCAAAAUGUUCAUCUUAUUCUUUCGAGUUUUCACCCUUUAUCUUUUAUGUUUCCUUUCAAAAUGUGGCAAUAAAAACUAUUGAGACCCACCAAAUAAAUGAGGCACUUCCAAGUUAUUAUUAUGGGCAGAUAAUGGAAGAAGCAAACCUCAAAUCAUCCACUUGAACUUCAACUUUAACACACGAUUGGAAUGCCAGAUCAGUGCUUUUCUUCCCAAGAGCAAUUUGUGGGCAUAACAUGGCAAAUGCUGACGAAAGUGAUGUUUGGGACUUCUUCAUCCGUUGCUGAAGCACAUUAUUAGCAUUCAAGAGCAUUUUGGUGUCAACGACGUACGGAAAGCACUUGUUAACAGAAGAGACAAACUCUUCAGCAGUAGAAGGAAGAGGACCUACAAAUUUGCUGUAUAUAUGUGCAAUAUCUGUAUGACAGCAAGAAGACGUCUUAGCGAUGUACAAAAUCAAAUUAAACUGUUUAUGAAACUAGCACAGAUAUUUAUACCAAGAAAGCAAUUGUGACCAACAAUCAAUUUCUGUUCUGAUGAAAGAAGGUCAAUAACGUGACGAAACCCAACUGCAGCUUGAACCUUCACCUCUGCCUGUCUACAAUGCUCAUCCUUCACCUCUUUCUGCAAAAGGUUUGCAUACAGAAAAUUUUAAAAUUCACAUGAUAACAAGCCCAGACAUGUCCUUUUGUGAUAUUUUCUGUUCUCCCUAUUGAACUUUCAGCACAAACAUGCUCCCAUAUAAGUAUUUUGAAAAAAAGAACAUAUACAUAAUUGCCAAAUCUAUCCCUUGAGAGUAAUUUUAAUGAUCAUUGUCAUUUGUUUUGAACCACAAAGACCUCUCUUCAAAAAGAAGAAGAAAAAAAACUGAAAUUCUAAUAACUGAAAGUCUGAAAACUAUUUCACAAAGUAAACAUGCUAAGUAAUCUUUCACAUUUUGGAAAGUUUACCGCAGAUCUACCUGGAGGAAACAAAUUACUUACCAUAAGUAACUCCCUGUCAUCCUUGGAAUCUGUACGCACAACUAGUCGCUGCUGACAGGUCUUUUCACCAUUUAUCUGAACAUAAGCAAGAUCUUGGAAAUGCCUUCUGAUGACCUGCAUGAUUUCAUUUUAAUAUUCAGCUCAAUAAAACCAUGACUGAGAAGAAACCAUGUUAUUUACAUCCACUUAGAAUCCAUCUCAACAUAAUCACAAAAAGUACAAGAAAAUAUUGAGACAACAAAAUUGGAAACCAGGUUUCCUCGGAUGAAUAAAACUUCCUUUGAGUAAGUUUGACUCAUUUGAGGAAAUUACCCAAGAAUGUCUAGGAAUGAUGUUCUGGACCACAUAUCCAAGAUUUAUUUGUUACAAAUAACAAUCUAAUGGUAGAAGAUUAAAAUGCAAAAAAAAUUACCAAAUGGAUCAACCUAAGCUGAUGAGAAGUGAAUCCACUCAGACUAAGAGCAGGACGCAUCUUAAAGAAAAUGAUUCGUAACUGUUGUUGGGAGUCAUUUGAGUUUCCCUGAAGUUGGAGUUCUCCAUUACUAUUUCUCAACAACCCAUCGCGCCAUUCAGUGAAUAUGUUCUUCAUCCGUUCAGUGAAGAGAGUGUCAGCCAUCUUGACCACUGGCAUGUGCACAGGUUCUUUCAAGUUUGACCAUUUAGCCAAUAAUUCAUCCUCAUAUGCCAAACUCAAAUGUCUUAGUGCCUCAAUUUCCUGUCCUUUGGAUAAAUAAGAUAUUCCUGAUAUUGUACAACAGUCCUAUUUUACAAACUGAGAGCAUCUUUUAAAAAAAACUAGAUGAAAUACGAGCCACACCUGAUAAAAUUUCUUAAAUCAUUACUUCAUAUAACAAUAAAACAACUGCACUACCUUCAUGUAUGCAGAUAUUGAAAUCGAACUGGUAUUUAGCUAAGAAAUCAAUUGAUGUAGUCUGGCAUAGGAACUCAUAAGCAGGGUUUGUGGC
rnacentral:lncRNA from 1 species